AUUUAUAUAGUUUAAAUUAAAACUUUACAUUUUCAUUGUAAAAAUAAAAAAAUUUUUUUAUAAAUA
rnacentral:tRNA from 4 species